rnacentral:rRNA from 1 species
AGAGUUUGAUCCUGGCUCAGGAUAAACGCUGGCGGCGUGCCUUAUACAUGCAAGUCGUGUGCCGAUUUAUCGGCACGGCGAACGGGUGAGUAACGCGUAGGUACUUACCUUGUCACGGGCAUAACUCCGCGAAAGCGGAGCUAAUUCCCGAUAAUGUCGCAAGACCAAAAGGUAUUCGCAAGAAUUACCGGGCAAGAAAAGGCCUGCGUCCUAUCAGCUUGUUGGUGAGGUAAAAGCUCACCAAGGCGAUGACGGGUAGCUGGUCUGAGAGGAUGAUCAGCCACAUGGGCACUGAGGCACGGGCCCAACUCCUACGGGAGGCAGCAGUAGGGAAUAUUGCACAAUGGGCGAAAGCCUGAUGCAGCGACGCCGCGUGCGGGAUGAAGGCCUUCGGGUUGUAAACCGCUUUUCUCUGGGACGAAUUUUUGACGGUACCAGAGGAAUAAGAGGUUGCUAACUCUGUGCCAGCAGCAGCGGUAAUACAGAGACCUCAAGCGUUAUCCGGAUUCAUUGGGCGUAAAGCGUACCGAUCGGUGGCUUUGAAAGUGCCGGGUUAAAUCCAGGGGCUCAACUUCUGGUCCACCCGGCAAACUACAAGGCUCGAGGGGCAAAGAGGAAGUCGGAACGAACGGUGUAGCAGUGAAAUGCGUUGAUAUCGUUCGGAACACCAAUAGCGAAGGCAGACUUCUGGGUGCCACCAGACACUGCUAGGACGAGAGCGUGGGGAGCGAAUGGGAUUAGAUACCCCAGUAGUCCACGCUGUAAACGAUGAUGACCAGGCAUGAGAGAGUAUCGACCCUUUUUCGUGCCGAAGCUAACGCAUUAAGUCAUCCGCCUGGGGAGUACGGUCGCAAGACUAAAACUCAAAGGAAUUGACGGGGACCCGCACAAGCGGUGGAGCAUGUGGUUCAAUUCGACGAUAAGCGAGGAACCUUACCUAGACUUGACAUUGCACUGCAAAUCCUGGGAAACCAGGACCUCUUCGAGAGUGUGCAACAGGUGAUGCACGGUUGUCGUCAGCUCGUGUCGUGAGAUGUUGCCUUAAGUGGCAGAACGAGCGCAACCCUUGUCGUCUGUUACUGUGUCAGACGAGACUGCCAGGGUUUAACCUGGAGGAAGGUGGGGAUGACGUCAAAUCAGCGUGUCUCUUACGUUUAGGGCUACACACGUGCUACAAUGGGGUGCAACAGAGGGACGCCAAGUCGCAAGACGGAGCUAAUCCCAUCAAACCACCCCCCAGUUCGGAUUGAGGGCUGCAACUCGCCCUCAUGAAGCCGGAAUCGCUAGUAACCGUGGAUCAGCCUCGCCACGGUGAAUACGUUCUCGGGUUUUGUACACACCGCCCGUCACACCAUGGAAGUGAGUAGUACCCAAAGCUCAUCGCAAGAUGGAUUAAGGUAAGACCCAUGACUGGGGUGAAGUCGUAACAAGGCA